UUUCGGUACAACACCUGAAGUAAUGUAUUUACAUAUCGCCAAGAACCGCCGCAGUAUAAUAGUCUAUAUUUUCGGGACAUUUAUAAAAAAAAAGUGAGAAAUAUGGAGAAUAAUCAUGGGACAAUGGCGGGCUGCUACUAACUUUAAAUUCCUGCAAAAAAAACACGGAGCGGUCUGACACACUCCCCUUGACAACAGUUGCGGGGAUAUAUCCACACAGUGGUCUUCUCCUGGAGAUGAGCAAUGCCGGCGUGACUGCAGUUGCGGCAGGUGUGGCGAUCAGCAGCCAAGACUUCCAGUGCGGAAGGCUGGACAUCCGCCCCACAUGUGGCAAACCAUGCGGGUCGCGAAUUGGCCUGCACAGCCACAUGCAAUGGCAUAUACGAAACCCCCCUCAAUAACCCAUUACUGGAGUAACGUCAUCAUCGUAACCGAUGGACAGCCAUAAGUAAGCAAUUUGUGAAGAUGUGCAGCAAGACUAGACAGAGCGAGAGAGGCUGACAGGAUGAUCCCUGUGGUGUUCCAGAGAGACAAACUGGAAGAUGUCUGCAAAGAUUACCCGCCUGCCAUACAAAGACUACACUGUGAUGGACCCAAGAGGAACUGCCGUUAUGUACGCACAAGGUCAUUUGAUGCGCUGCCACAAGACUUUACUGUUACGUAAACUCAUAGUGGAGGACAGUCAUAGUUACGUUAUCAGUCACAUCCUAGCAUAUGACUCAACUGAAGACCUUAGUGACCUCAGGUUAAAGGCAUAUGCAGGACAUUUACCUACUUGAAUUAUUGUUUUUUAGGAAGGCGUGAUACUUUAAACAUUUCACGGCCUCACAUUUAAAGCAUGACUUCACUUUUUUAUUUAAAUAAGUU